rnacentral:rRNA from 1 species
UACGUAGGGGGCUAGCGUUGUCCGGAAUUAUUGGGCGUAAAGAGCUCGUAGGCGGUCUGUCGCGUCGAUCGUGAAAACUUGGGGCUUAACCCUGAGCUUGCGGUCGAUACGGGCAUGACUGGAGUUCGGCAGGGGAGACUGGAAUUCCUGGUGUAGCGGUGAAAUGCGCAGAUAUCAGGAGGAACACCGAUGGCGAAGGCAGGUCUCUGGGCCGAUACUGACGCUGAGGAGCGAAAGCGUGGGGAGCAAACAGG